rnacentral:rRNA from 1 species
CCUACGGGUGGCAGCAGUGGGGAAUAUUGGACAAUGGGGGCAACCCUGAUCCAGCCAUGCCGCGUGUGUGAAGAAGGCCCUCGGGUUGUAAAGCACUUUCAGUGAGGAAGAACGCCUGGUGGUUAAUACCCAUCAGGAAAGACAUCACUCACAGAAGAAGCACCGGCUAACUCCGUGCCAGCAGCCGCGGUAAUACGGAGGGUGCGAGCGUUAAUCGGAAUUACUGGGCGUAAAGCGCGCGUAGGUGGCUUGAUAAGCCGGUUGUGAAAGCCCCGGGCUCAACCUGGGAACGGCAUCCGGAACUGUCAAGCUAGAGUGCAGGAGAGGAAGGUAGAAUUCACGGUGUAGCGGUGAAAUGCGUAGAGAUCGGGAGGAAUACCAGUGGCGAAGGCGGCCUUCUGGACUGACACUGACACUGAGGUGCGAAAGCGUGGGUAGCAAACAGGAUUAGAUACCCUGGUAGUC